rnacentral:rRNA from 1 species
CCUACGGGAGGCAGCAGUGGGGAAUAUUGGACAAUGGGCGCAAGCCUGAUCCAGCAAUGCCGCGUGAGUGAUGAAGGCCUUAGGGUCGUAAAGCUCUUUUACCAGGGAUGAUAAUGACAGUACCUGGAGAAUAAGCUCCGGCUAACUCCGUGCCAGCAGCCGCGGUAAUACGGAGGGAGCUAGCGUUGUUCGGAAUUACUGGGCGUAAAGCGUACGUAGGCGGUUAUUCAAGUCAGAGGUGAAAGCCCGGGGCUCAACCCCGGAACGGCCUUUGAAACUAGGUAGCUAGAAUCUUGGAGAGGUCAGUGGAAUUCCGAGUGUAGAGGUGAAAUUCGUAGAUAUUCGGAAGAACACCAGUGGCGAAGGCGACUGACUGGACAAGUAUUGACGCUGAGGUACGAAAGCGUGGGGAGCAAACAGGAUUAGAUACCCUGGUAGUCCACGCCGUAAACGAUGAUAACUAGCUGUUCGGGCACUUGGUGCUUGAGUGGCGCAGCUACGACAUUAAGUUAUCCGUCCGUCGGGUAGGUACGGUCGCGAAGAAUUAAAACUUAAAAGGUAAAGUUAGUACGGCGUGAGACGUGCCGAACGGACGACGACGAGGGAGUAGG